rnacentral:rRNA from 1 species
UACGAAGGGGGCUAGCGUUGUUCGGAAUCACUGGGCGUAAAGCGCACGUAGGCGGAUUUGUUAGUCAGGGGUGAAAUCCCGGGGCUCAACCUCUGAACUGCCUUUGAUACUGCAAAUCUCGAGUCCGGAAGAGGUGAGUGGGAUUCCUAGUGUAGAGGUGAAAUUCGUAGAUAUUAGGAAGAACACCAGUGGCGAAGGCGGCCCACUGGUCCGGUACUGACGCUGAGGUGCGAAAGCGUGGGGCGCAAACACG